rnacentral:rRNA from 1 species
UACGGAGGGAGCUAGCGUUAUUCGGAAUUACUGGACGUAAAGCGCACGUAGGCGGCUUUGUAAGUUAGAGGUGAAAGCCUGGAGCUCAACUCCAGAACUGCCUUUAAGACUGCAUCGCUUGAAUCCAGGAGAGGUGAGUGGAAUUCCCGGUGUAGCGGUGAAAUGCGCAGAUAUCGGGAAGAACACCCGUGGCGAAGGCGGCUCUCUGGGGACGGUACUGACGCUGAGACGCGAAAAGCGUGGGGGAGCGAACAGG